rnacentral:rRNA from 1 species
UGGGGGAUAUUGCACAAUGGGCGAAAGCCUGAUGCAGCGACGCCGCGUGGGGGAUGAAGGCCUUCGGGUUGUAAACUUCUUUUGCUCUGAACAAGGCGCACCAUGGUGUGUGUUGAGUGUAGGGGUUGAUUAGCGCCGGCUAACUACGUGCCAGCAGCCGCGGUAAUACGUAGGGCGCGAGCGUUGUCCGGAAUUAUUGGGCGUAAAGGGCUUGUAGGUGGCUGGUUGCGUCUGUCGUGAAAGCUCAUGGCUUAACUGUGGGUUUGCGGUGGGGACGGGCUGGCUAGAGUGCAGUAGGGGAGGCUGGAAUUCCUGGUGUAGCGGUGGAAUGCGCAGAUAUCAGGAGGAAUACCGGUGGCGAAGGCAGGUCUCUGGGCUGUUACUGACACUGAGGAGCGAAAGCAUGGGGAGCGAACAGG